rnacentral:rRNA from 1 species
GAUGAACGCUGGCGGCGUGCCUAAUACAUGCAAGUCGAGCGAACAGACGAGGAGCUUGCUCCUCUGACGUUAGCGGCGGACGGGUGAGUAACACGUGGAUAACCUACCUAUAAGACUGGGAUAACUUCGGGAAACCGGAGCUAAUACCGGAUAAUAUAUUGAACCGCAUGGUUCAAUAGUGAAAGACGGUUUUGCUGUCACUUAUAGCUGGAUCCGCGCCGCAUUAGCUAGUUGGUAAGGUAACGGCUUACCAAGGCAAGGAUGCGUAGCCGACCUGAGAGGGUGAUCGGACACACUGGAACUGAGACACGGUCCAGACUCCUACGGGGGGCAGCAGUAGGGAAUCUUCCGCAAUGGGGGAAAGCCUGACGGAGCAACGCCGCGUGAGUGAUGAAGGUCUUCGGAUCGUAAAACUCUGUUAUUAGGGAAGAACAAAUGUGUAAGUAACUAUGCACGUCUUGACGGUACCUAAUCAGAAAGCCACGGCUAACUACGUG